AGUGAACGCUGGCGGUAGGCCUAACACAUGCAAGUCGAACGGCAGCACAGUAAGAGCUUGCUCUUACGGGUGGCGAGUGGCGGACGGGUGAGGAAUACAUCGGAAUCUACUUUUUCGUGGGGGAUAACGUAGGGAAACUUACGCUAAUACCGCAUACGACCUACGGGUGAAAGCAGGGGAGCUUCGGACCUUGCGCGAUUGAAUGAGCCGAUGUCGGAUUAGCUAGUUGGCGGGGUAAAGGCCCACCAAGGCGACGAUCCGUAGCUGGUCUGAGAGGAUGAUCAGCCACACUGGAACUGAGACACGGUCCAGACUCCUACGGGAGGCAGCAGUGGGGAAUAUUGGACAAUGGGCGCAAGCCUGAUCCAGCCAUACCGCGUGGGUGAAGAAGGCCUUCGGGUUGUAAAGCCCUUUUGUUGGGAAAGAAAAGCAGCAGGUUAAUACCCCGCUGUUCUGACGGUACCCAAGGAAUAAGCACCGGCUAACUUCGUG
rnacentral:rRNA from 1 species